AUGCCAAGGUGGGUACAUUGUUUAAGAAGCUCCUUGAAUCUUUCCCAAGCAUCAAAUAAGGUCUCAUCCUCUCCUUGACUAAACGAGGUUAUCUCAUAUCUUGUUU